AGAGUUUGAUCCUGGCUCAGGAUGAACGCUGGCGGCGUGCCUAAUACAUGCAAGUCGAGCGAACAGAUAAGGAGCUUGCUCCUUUGACGUUAGCGGCGGACGGGUGAGUAACACGUGGGUAACCUACCUAUAAGACUGGGAUAACUUCGGGAAACCGGAGCUAAUACCGGAUAACAUUUGGAACCGCAUGGUUCUAAAGUGAAAGAUGGUUUUGCUAUCACUUAUAGAUGGACCCGCGCCGUAUUAGCUAGUUGGUAAGGUAACGGCUUACCAAGGCAACGAUACGUAGCCGACCUGAGAGGGUGAUCGGCCACACUGGAACUGAGACACGGUCCAAACUCCUACGGGAGGCAGCAGUGGGGAAUAUUGCACAAUGGGCGAAAGCCUGAUGCAGCAACGCCGCGUGAGCGAAGAGGGCCUUCGGGUCGUAAAGCUCUGUCCUCAAGGAAGAUAAUGACGGUACUUGAGGAGGAAGCCCCGG
rnacentral:rRNA from 1 species